AUUGAACGCUGGCGGCAUGCUUUACACAUGCAAGUCGAACGGUAACAGGGAGCUUGCUCCGCUGACGAGUGGCGAACGGGUGAGUAAUGCGUCGGAACGUGCCGAGUAGUGGGGGAUAACGCAUCGAAAGGUGUGCUAAUACCGCAUACGAACUGAGGUUGAAAGUGGGGGACCUUCGGGCCUCACGCUACUCGAGCGGCCGACGUCUGAUUAGCUAGUUGGUGAGGUAAAGGCUCACCAAGGCGACGAUCAGUAGCGGGUCUGAGAGGAUGAUCCGCCACACUGGGACGGAGACACGGCACAGACUCCGACGGGAGGCAGCAGUGGGGAAUUUUGGACAAUGGGCGCAAGCCUGAUCCAGCCAUGCCGCGUGUCUGAAGAAGGCCUUCGGGUUGUAAAGGACUUUUGUCCGGGAGCAAAUGCUGGUGGCUAACAUCCACCGGAGCUGAGAGUACCGGAAGAAUAAGCACCGGCUAACUACGUGCCAGCAGCCGCCGUAAUAC
rnacentral:rRNA from 1 species